ACUCGGGUUGCACUGGACGAGGCUGCUGUGAUCUGACCCAUGGGUAUCAGCUGUAGUGUUUGGGGUCGUUAAGUCUUAAGACUCAAGUCAGAGUUCCGUGACAGAUACACCAUUUGUGCGUGUAGGUGGACUAUGUACAGCGGCACUAAAGAAAGUACUCCGUAGGAUUGUAGUUCCUGACUAGAGAAGAGAGGAGCGGGACCUGGUUUUGAAGCGCCCGCCGCUCUGUGGGUCCACAGACUAGCUAGUGGAAAGCGCAAAUCUCAGGUUGAACAAGGAGGAAACGAGCUGGAAUCACAGAGGAGACCCCUGAAUGACCUUAGGGAUCUGGACUUCCGGGCUGGUGACUGGCCUCCACCUUUGACGUCUCCGUGGCGUCUACUAGAGACGACAUUCGAGGCGGCUGCGGGCGUGAGACUGUCUCCACUUUUCCCCCGUUUGUGGCUGCUGUUGGUAAGCCGUUCCCUCACCUUGUUUUCUCACAUAUCCUCACUUCUGUGUCCAACCCACAGUAGUCGCUCCCAAUGCACUUCCUGGAAAGAGAAAAAUGAGGAGCCUAAAGGAGGUUCAGCUGGUGAAGGUGCUUGGUGUCCAAGCUUGAACGCCCGAGUUUGAUCCCUGGAUCCCAUGUAA
ensembl:processed_transcript Gm35025 predicted gene, 35025